UUGUCCUACGGGGGGCAGCAGUGAGGAAUAUUGGUCAAUGGGCUUACGCCUGAACCAGCCAAGUCGCGUGAGGGAAGACUGCCCUAUGGGUUGUAAACCUCUUUUGUCAGGGAGCAACGCCGACUACGUGUAGCCGGACUGAGAGUACCUGAAGAAAAAGCAUCGGCUAACUCCGUGCCAGCAGCCGCGGUAAUACGGAGGAUGCGAGCGUUAUCCGGAUUUAUUGGGUUUAAAGGGUGCGUAGGCGGGCAUUUAAGCCGGCGGUCAAAUGUCGGGGCUCAACCCCGGCCUGCCGUCGGAACUGG
rnacentral:rRNA from 1 species